rnacentral:rRNA from 1 species
GACGAACGCUGGCGGCGUGCUUAACACAUGCAAGUCGAACGGAAAGGCCCUGCUUUUGUGGGGUGCUCGAGUGGCGAACGGGUGAGUAACACGUGAGUAACCUGCCCUUGACUUUGGGAUAACUUCAGGAAACUGGGGCUAAUACCGGAUAGGAGCUCCUGCUGCAUGGUGGGGGUUGGAAAGUUUCGGCGGUUGGGGAUGGACUCGCGGCUUAUCAGCUUGUUGGGGGGGUAGUGGCUUACCAAGGCUUUGACGGGUAGGCGGCCUGAGAGGGUGACCGGCCACAUUGGGACUGAGAUACGGACCAGACUCCUACGGGAGGCAGCAGUGGGGAAUAUUGCACAAUGGGCGGAAGCCUGAUGCAGCAACGCCGCGUGCGGGAUGACGGCCUUCGGGUUGUAAACCGCUUUCGCCUGUGACGAAGCGUGAGUGACGGUAAUGGGUAAAGAAGCACCGGCUAACUACGUG